UUACUACUCCCUCCGUCCGGAAAUAGUUGUCAUCAAAAUGGAUAAAAGAGGAUGUAUCUAGAUGUAUUUUAGUUCUAGAUACAUCUUCUUUUAUCCAUUUUGAUGACAAGUAUUUUCGGACGGAGGGAGUACGUC
rnacentral:pre_miRNA from 1 species